UUCAGGAUGGCCGAGCAGUCUAAUUCACCAUACUCAAGUUGUGGGGGCGUGGGUUCGAAUCCCACUUCUGACA